rnacentral:rRNA from 1 species
UACGGAGGGUGCAAGCGUUGUCCGGAAUCACUAGGCGUAAAGGGCGCGUAGGCGGCUCAUGAAGGCUGUGGUGAAAGUCCGGGGCUCAACCUCGGAUCGGCCGUGGCGACUCGUGGGCUGGAGCACUGUAGAGGCGGGUGGAAUUCCGGGUGUAGCGGUGGAAUGCGUAGAGAUCCGGAAGAACACCGGUGGCGAAGGCGGCCUGCUGGGCAGUUGCUGACACUGAGGCGCGACAGCGUGGGGAGCAAACAGG